rnacentral:Y_RNA from 1 species
GCCCAGCCCCAAGACUAAUGGUGUACAACUAAUUGAUCACAGCCAGCUACAGACUUCUUUGUUCCUUCUCCCUUCCCACUGCUUUACUUAACUAGUCUUUA